ACGAACGCUGGCGGCGUGCUUAACACAUGCAAGUCGAACGGAAAGGCCCUUCGGGGUACUCGAGUGGCGAACGGGUGAGUAACACGUGGGUGAUCUGCCCUGCACUUCGGGAUAAGCCUGGGAAACUGGGUCUAAUACCGGAUAUACCUCAGUGGUUGCAUGACUGUUGGGGGAAAGCUUUUGCGGUGUGGGAUGGGCCCGCGGCCUAUCAGCUUGUUGGUGGGGUGAUGGCCUACCAAGGCGUCGACGGGUAGCCG
rnacentral:rRNA from 12 species